rnacentral:rRNA from 1 species
GCCUAACACAUGCAAGUCGAGCGGCAGCACAAGUAAGUUACUUAUGAGGUGGCGAGCGGCGGACGGGUGAGUAAUGCCUAGGGAUCUGCCCAGUCGAGGGGGAUAACAGUUGGAAACGACUGCUAAUACCGCAUACUGCCCUACGUGGGUGAAAGAGUGGGGACCUUCUGGGCCUCUCGCGAUUGGAUGAACCUAGGUGGGAUUAGCUAGUUGGUGAUGUGUAAUGGCUCACCAAGGCGACGAUCCCUAGCUGUUCUGAGAGUGAUGAUCAGCCACACUGGGACUGAGACACGGCCCAGACUCCUACGGGAGGCAGCAGUGGGGAAUAUUGCACAAUGGGGGAAACCCUGAUGCAGCCAUGCCGCGUGUGUGAAGAAGGCCUUCGGGUUGUAAAGCACUUUCAGUAGGGAGGAAAGGGUGAGUCUUANUACGGCUCAUCUGUGACGUUACCUACAGAAGAAGGACCGGCUAACUCCGUGCCAGCAGCCGCGGUAACACGGAGGGUCCGAGCGUUAAUCGGAAAUUACUGGGCGUAAA